AAUAGGCUAAUUAAGAGCGUAAGGGGAAUGCCUUGGCUCUCAGAGGCGAUGAAGGACGUGAUAAGCUGCGAUAAGCUGCGGGGAUUGGCACACACAAUUUGAUCCGUAGAUUUCCGAAUGGGGCAACCCACUAUAUUGAAGAUAUAGUAUCCGUUAAGGAAGCAAACCCAGGGAACUGAAACAUCUAAGUACCUGGAGGAAUAGAAAACAAAAGUGAUUCCGCUAGUAGUGGCGAGCGAACGCGGAUCAGCCCAAACCAAAAUUGUUUCGGCAAUUUUGGGG
rnacentral:rRNA from 1 species